CCCUAGGUCAAAUUAAAUCAGGGCAGGUCAGACCAUCACCUGAUAGUAUAUAUAUUUACAGUAUUUAAAAGAACUAACUCACCUAUGUUUCUUCUAAAUUGCAUGGGAACAGGACACAGUGUAAUUCUGACUGUAUUUCCUGACCCUACCACUAGAGGUACCGUUUUAAAGUAUUGCCUUAAAGUGUCACUAGCACUUAUGGAUGCAUUCGAUAGGAAAAGUGGAUUCUAUGCCAUAUUAAUUUUCAUAGGGAAGUACUUUUUUUGUGGACGGAGAAAAGUACUGCUUGGGAAAGAGAAGCAUGUUUUGUUCUCGGAUUCUACCUGCUUGUUUUUAAUAUCAAGGUGAUUGAAGGAGCUGUGUAGGCUUGUGUCAGUGUUGUGGAGAUAAUGGAUGAUUGCUUCUUUAAGAGGGGCACUUUGGGGCUGCAGCUCUACCUAUAACAACAUAAAUCUGGCUGGCAAAUCCAACAAUCCUACUGUCAAAGACAGAUCUGCUUGUAUCUGGAGAAGACUUGCUAACCAUGGGUCAAUGAAAUCUGGAUUUUCCAUAUUCCAGGAAAUCUUUGUAUAUGGCAAUCACUCAUUAUCUGGUCAUUAUAUCAGGUAUAUUAUUGUGAACACUGAGAAACAUUGUAUCAAUCCAAACUGAAGAAAUCAAAUAUUUUCUCUACAUAUUUUGGACUAUGUCAUUGCUGCUAACCUUGACUCUUCACAGGUUUGUCACAUCUCAUGGUGCUCAGCCAACCGAUAACUUGAUGCUGGUGAACUAUAUUUCUGAGCUGCACCUGGCUGGCUGAGGAUCGUGGGUGAUGCAGUUCAAACAUAUCUCUAGCACCAAGAUGUAUCAGCCCUGAGCAAGGCUGCUGCACAAGUCUUCAUUGUGGACACACAUUAAAUAGAAACCUUCUUGUCUCACCUUAUUCAUCUCACAGGAUUCAUAAAUGCAAUUUCAGGAGAACGAAUGGGUAUUAUUCCCUUUGGAAUUAGAUUAUAGAGCAGUUUUUAAUUUUACAUGCAUUGUACGUUUUUAUAUAUCCCAUUAAAGGGCUCUAUCACUGGAAUGUGUUCUGGGCAAUUUUCAUUUUUUUCCAUGCAGUCUGUCCUCUCUUUGCUUGAUGUGAAUUUUAAUUGAAGACAUUAAUAGCAGCAUGCAGUGACUUAUAACUGUAGAAUUGUUUUCUAUUAACCAAGGCUGUAUGGCUUUGUCAGUCCAGUUGCUAUGAACCACAACCUAUAGCAUCCUCAGGUCUGCCUGAGAGCAAUGGGAG